rnacentral:rRNA from 1 species
UAGUCAUAUGCUUGUCUCAAAGAUUAAGCCAUGCAUGUCUAAGUAUAAACAUGAAUAACUUGUGAAACUGCGAAUGGCUCAUUAAAUCAGUCAUAGUUUAAUUGAUGGAAGCAACGGUGGAUAACCGUGGUAAUUCUAGAGCUAAUACGUGCGCGGAAGGUCGACUGCGGUCGGAGUGUGUGAGCACUCAGGGCGGGAAGAUCUGUAUUUAUUAGAUACACAACCAACGCCUCGUCGUCCUGUUUUGGAGGAGGAGGAGAGUGGGUGAGUCAUGAUAACUGUGUCGAUCGCAGAGUCCCCUGGCGGACGGCGAUGUGUCAUUCAAGUGUCUGCCCUAUCAUACUUUGAUGGUAGCGUAUUGGGCUACCAUGGUGACCACGGGUAACGGAGAAUUAGGGUUCGAUUCCGGAGAGGGAGCCUGAGAAAUGGCUACCACAUCCAAGGAAGGCAGCAGGCGCGCAAAUUACCCAAUCCUGAUCGAGGGAGGUAGUGACAAUAAAUAACAAUACCGACCUCUUUUCACGAGGUGUGGUAAUUGGACUGAGUGGCACGUACAUCCUUCAAACGAAAGCAAUU